GGGCCCGUAGCUUAGUUGGUAGAGCGCCUCGUUUGCAUCGAGGAGGUCAGCGGUCCGAAUCCGCUCGGGUCCA
rnacentral:tRNA from 1 species